rnacentral:rRNA from 1 species
CUUUACUGAACCUGGUAUUGGGUUCGGGCUUUGACUGCGCAGGAUAGGUGGGAGACUAUGAAGCAAUCCUUGUGGGGAUUGUGGAGUCAACAGUGAGAUACCACUCUGUCAGAGCUAGAAUUCUAACCUUCACCCGUUAUCCGGGGAAGGAACCGUAUCAGGCGGGCAGUUUGACUGGGGCGGUCGCCUCCUAAAUGGUAACGGAGGCGCGCAAAGGUUUCCUCAGGCUGGUUGGAAAUCAGCCGAAGAGUGUAAAGGCAGAAGAACGCUUGACUGUGAGAGUGACAACUCGAGCAGGGUGGAAACACGGCCUUAGUGAUCCGACGGCUUGUGCGUGGAAAUGCCGUCGCUCAACGGAUAAAAGUUA